GUGGGGAAUCUUAGACAAUGGGCGCAAGCCUGAUCUAGCCAUGCCGCGUGAGUGAUGAAGGCCCUAGGGUUGUAAAGCUCUUUCAGCUGGGAAGAUAAUGACGGUACCAGCAGAAGAAGCCCCGGCUAACUCCGUGCCAGCAGCCGCGGUAAUACGGAGGGGGCUAGAGUUGUUCGGAAUUACUGGGCGUAAAGCGCGCGUAGGCGGACUGAAAAGUUGGGGGUGAAAUCCCGGGGCUCAACCUCGGAACUGCCUUCAAAACUAUCAGUCUGGAGUUCGAGAGAGGUGAGUGGAAUUCCGAGUGUAGAGGUGAAAUUCGUAGAUAUUCGGAGGAACACCAGUGGCGAAGGCGGCUCACUGGCUCGAUACUGACGCUGAGGUGCGAAAGCGUGGGGAGCAAACAGGAUUAGAAACCCGUGUAGUCC
rnacentral:rRNA from 1 species